rnacentral:rRNA from 1 species
AUUGAACGCUGGCGGCAUGCUUUACACAUGCAAGUCGAACGGCAGCGCGGGCUUCGGCCUGGCGGCGAGUGGCGAACGGGUGAGUAAUGCAUCGGAACGUGCCCAGUAGUGGGGGAUAGCCCGGCGAAAGCCGGAUUAAUACCGCAUACGACCUGAGGGUGAAAGCGGGGGACCGAAAGGCCUCGCGCUAUUGGAGCGGCCGAUGUCGGAUUAGCUAGUUGGUGGGGUAAAGGCUUACCAAGGCGACGAUCCGUAGCUGGUCUGAGAGGACGACCAGCCACACUGGGACUGAGACACGGCCAAGACUCCUACGGGAGGCAGCAGUGGGGAAUUCUGGACAAUGGGGGCAACCCUGAUCCAGCCAUGCCGCGUGCGGGAAGAAGGCCUUCGGGUUGUAAACCGCUUUUGUUCGGGAAGAAAUCCUCUGGGCUAAUACCCCGGGGGGAUGACGGUACCGGAAGAAUAAGCACCGGCUAACUAC